rnacentral:rRNA from 1 species
UCAAGAUAGAACGGGCACACGGUGGAUGCCCUGGCACCUAAGCCGAUGAAGGACGUGAUUACCUGCGAAAAGCCCGGUGGAGCUGGUAGUAAGCUUUGAUACCGGGAUAUCCGAAUGGGGGAACCCGGCCUGUGGGAACACAGGUCACUCACGCGAGUGAGGGGGAACCUGGGGAACUGAAACAUCUAAGUACCCAGAGGAGAAGAAAGAGAGUUCGAUUCUCUGAGUAGCGGCGAGCGAAAGGGGAGAAGCCUAAACUGCUGAGCGUGCUCAGUGGGGUUGUGGGGCUGGCGAUAUCGAAGCGGAAGUUUAGUCGAAGGGUUUUGGGAAAGCCCACCAUAGAAGGUGAAAGUCCUGUAGACGAAAGGCGGAAGCUAGUAGCCAGUACCCGAGUAGCCUGUGGUUCGUGGAGCUAUGGGUGAAUCUGCGCGGCCCACCGCGUAAGGCUAAAUACUCUAGGUGACCGAUAGUGGACCAGUACCGUGAGGGAAAGGUGAAAAGAACCCCGGGAGGGGAGUGAAAUAGAACCUGAAACCGUGUGCUCACAAGCAAUCAAAGGACUAUAGAGGUCUUUUGGUGUGCCUAUUGAAGCAUGAGCUGGCGACUUACGGUAGCGGGCGAGCUUAAGCCGAGAGGUGGAGGCGUAGCGAAAGCGAGUCCGAAUAGGGCGAAAGAUGGGCCGUUCGCGGCCCAUGUAGUUCGUUGCCGUAGACUCGAAACCCAGAGAGCUAGCCCUGACCAGGCUGAAGCGCGGGUGACACUGCGUGGAGGGCCGAACCAGUUGGAGAUGCAAAUCCUUUGGAUGAGUUGGGGUUAGGAGUGAAAAGCUAACCGAUCUGGGAGAUAGCUAGUUCUCCUCGAAAUGACUUUAGGGUCAGCCUCGGAUGCUUAUUUGGGCCUGUAAAGCACUGAUAGGGCUAGGGGGCCUACCAGCCUACCAAACCCUUUCAAACUCUGAAGGGUCCAAAAUGGAGUCCGGGAGUGAGGGCACGAGUGCUAACAUCCGUGUCCAAGCGCUGGAACAACAGAGAUCGCCGAAUAAGGUCCCCAAGUACAGGUUAAGUGGAUAAAGAUGUGGGGUUGCCCAGACAGCUAGGAGGUUGGCUUAGAAGCAGCCAUCCUUUAAAGAGUGCGUAAUAGCUCACUAGUCGAGUGACCCUGCGCUGAAAAUGAUCGGGGCUUAAACCUGUCACCGAAUUCGCGGGUUGCAGUGAUGCAGCGGUAGAGGAGCGUUCCCUAUGCCGAGGAAGCCAUACCGUGAGGAGUGGUGGAGGUACGGGAAGUGCGAAUGCCAGCAUGAGUAACGAUAAAAGGGGUGAGAAUCCCCUUCGCCGUAAACCCAAGGUUUCCUACGCGAUGGUCGUCAUCGUAGGGUUAGGCGGGGCCUAAGGAUAAGCCGAGAGGCGAGGCCGACGGACAACUGGUUAAUAUUCCAGUCCUACUACGCAGUGCGAUGGGGGGACGCUUUAGGCUAAGCGAACCGGAGCCAUGGAAGAGCCCGGACAGAAACCCAAAGGGGGCUAUAGGCAAAUCCGUAGCCCAAUACCGGUGGGUGGUGUGGAAGCCGCAAGGUGACAACUCGCCGAAGCCAGGGAGCCGAGAAAAGCCUCUAAGCAUAACUGCGCAGUACCCGUACCGUAAACCGACACAGGUGGGUGGGUGUAAAUGCACCAAGGCGCGCGGGAGAACCCUCGCUAAGGAACUUUGCAAUCUAGCCCCGUAACUUCGGGAGAAGGGGUGCUUGGCGCGGAAGCGCUAAGCCGCAGUGAAUAGACUCUGGCGACUGUUUACCAAAAACUCAGCUCUGUGCGAACACGUAAGUGGAAGUAUACGGAGCGACGCUUGCCCGGUGCUGGAAGGUCAAGGGGAGGGGUGCAAGCCCUGAUCCGAAGCCCCAGUGAACGGCGGCCGUAACUAUAACGGUCCUAAGGUAGCGAAAUUCCUUGUCGGGUAAGUUCCGACCUGCACGAAAAGCGUAACGAUCAGAGUGCUGUCUCAGCGAGGGACCCGGUGAAAUUGAACUGGCUGUGAAGAUGCAGCCUACUCGUGGCAGGACGAAAAGACCCCAUGGAGCUUUACUGUAGUCUGGCAUUGAGAUUCGGCCGUUUCUGCGCAGGAUAGGUGGGAGCCUAUGAAACCGGGGCUUUGGUUUCGGUGGAGGCGACGGUGAGAUACCACCCUGAGACGUCUGGAUUUCUAACCGAAGCGCUUUGCGCCGGGACAGUGCUUGAUGGGCAGUUUGACUGGGGCGGUCGCCUCCUAAAAGGUAACGGAGGCGCCCAAAGGUUCCCUCAGGUGGGACGGAAACCCACCAGUGAGCGCAAGGGUAGAAGGGAGCCUGACUGUGAGGCGAGCAGGCCGAGCAGGCGCGAAAGCGGGGCCUAGUGAACCUGUGGUUCUGUGUGGAAGGGCCAUAGAUCAACGGAUAAAAGUUACCCUGGGGAUAACAGGCUGAUGAUUCCCGAGCGUCCAUAGCGGCGGAAUCGUUUGGCACCUCGAUGUCGGCUCGUCACAUCCUGGGGCUGAAGAAGGUCCCAAGGGUUGGGCUGUUCGCCCAUUAAAGUGGCACGCGAGCUGGGUUCAGAACGUCGUGAGACAGUUCGGUCUCUAUCCGUCACGAGCGCAAGAAGGUUGAGGGGGGCUGCUCCUAGUACGAGAGGACCGGAGUGGACGUACCGCUGGUUUUCCUGCUGUUCUUCCAAGGGCAUAUGCAGGGUAGCCAAGUACGGGAGAGAUAACCGCUGAAAGCAUCUAAGCGGGAAACUUGCCUCAAGAUGAGCCUUCUCACGGAGUCAAUCCGGUAAGGACCCCGGUAGAAUACCGGGUGGAUCGGCGGGAGGUGUACGUGGGGUGACCCAUUGAGCCGACCCGUGCGAAUCGUCCGAGGUCUUGACCUU